GAUGAACGCUAGCGGCAGGCUUAACACAUGCAAGUCGAGCGAUGAAGCACCUUCGGGUGUGAAUUAGCGGCGAACGGGUGAGGAACACGUGAGAAAUCUGCCUUCAACACUGGGAUAACUCCGGGAAACCGGGGCUAAUACCGGAUAUGAAACCUGCGGGCAUCCGCGGGUUUGGAAAGUUUUUCGGUUGAAGAUGAUCUCGCGGCCUAUCAGCUUGUUGGUGAGGUAAUGGCUCACCCAAGGCGACGACGGGUAGCCGGCCUGAGAGGGCGACCGGCCACACUGGGACUGAGACACGGCCCAGACUCCUACGGGAGGCAGCAGUGGGGAAUAUUGGGCAAUGGAGGAAACUCUGACCCAGCGACGCCGCGUGCGGGAUGAAGGCCUUCGGGUUGUAAACCGCUUUCAGCAGGGAAGAAGCGAAAGUGACGGUACCUGCAGAAGAAGCACCGGCUAACUAUGUG
rnacentral:rRNA from 1 species